UACGUAGGGUGCGAGCGUUAAUCGGAUUUACUGGGCGUAAAGCGUGCGCAGGCGGCCCGUUAAGACAGGUGUGAAAUCCCUGGGCUCAACCUAGGAAUUGCGCUUGUGACUGGCGGGCUCGAGUACGGUAGAGGGGGGUGGAAUUCCUGGUGUAGCAGUGAAAUGCGUAGAGAUCAGGAGGAACACCGAUGGCGAAGGCAGCCCCCUGGGCCUGUACUGACGCUCAUGCACGAAAGCGUGGGGUGCAAACAGG
rnacentral:rRNA from 1 species